rnacentral:rRNA from 1 species
UACGGAGGGUGCGAGCGUUGCUCGGAAUUACUGGGCGUAAAGCGGACGCAGGCGGCUUGUCAGGUCGUGCGUGAAAUCCCGGAGCUCAACUCCGGAAUUGCGCUCGAAACCGACUCGCUCGAGUGCGGGAGAGGGAAGCGGAAUUCCUGGUGUAGAGGUGAAAUUCGUAGAUAUCAGGAGGAACACCGGUGGCGAAAGCGGCUUCCUGGACCAGUACCGACGUUCAGGCACGAAAGCGUGGGGAGCAAACAGG